rnacentral:lncRNA from 1 species
UAAAAUUGAAAGAUUGGAGCUUUCACAUCCAAAAUCUGCCGCCAAGGAGUGAGAAUGGGUGUUUUUGCGUCUUUUCUCUGCCAAAAGAUAACCCUAUGGGUCACACAAAUCUAUUUAUAAACUAUGAAAAAUUAUAGAAAACUAGCCCAAGGCCAACUAUAGUGCUCAACGGUAUUUGCAGCACUCAAGUAGGACGCUCAGCGUUCACGCCUAGGCAUUUGGCAGUGCUGUCUCUGAGAAGGCCAGCGCUCAGCGUUGGAUCUAGCGCUCAACGGUGUGCACGACUUUAACUUUCCCCCUCAGCGUUGGCGCUUAAGAGUCUGACAAUGACUCUUUUCACAAAGUUGGCGCUCAACGCUGAAAAUGGCGUUGAGCGGUGGCUGAGAUUCUUCCUCUGCACCUUUUUUUCAUCCUUCCUUGAGUCCAACUCCUUUCUUCUUCAAUCGUCAUCAUUCAAUUCUCGUCUAACCCUGUCAAAACAAGGAAAACCAAGCAUAAUACCUCUAAAACCACUUUUGACUCUCUUUUAACCUAAAUAAAGCAAUUUGCAUGAUUUCAAGCUAAUUUCUAAGUCAUAAAGGGUGUGUUUUGUAUCAAAAUUAAGUAUGAAAAUAACGGUUUUUGAACCGUUAUCAAUGAAUUGCAAAACAAAGAUUUAAUCAUCAACAAACUAAAAAAAUAUAAUCAGAAAUGGGAGAGGAAAUAAGGGUAACGAAAUUAUCCAUAGUGACAUUAUUUCUAGUUUAAAUGUAUAAAUGGAGAAGAAUAAAUGAAUAGACCGCAUCCUGAUAAAAAUAUGCUAGAAAGGGAGAAUUAUACCACAUGUAUCAGACCAUAAUAGAAAGCUAUCAUAUAAGAAAUAAUUAAAAAAAUAAUUGUUAUAACCCAAAAUACAGCACUAAAUAUAUAUAUAUAUAUAUAUAUAUAUAUAUAUAUAUAUAUAUAUAUAUAUAUAAUUCUAAAAUCAUCAUGGCUUAAAUAAAAUAUACCACUAGUUAAACUUUCACGGUUCAAGUUUACACAAGCAGCUAUAUACACUAUUUGGUUCUUCACGUGUCCAUCUAAAAACUUAGAGUGAUAGAAAUCUUAUAUGUCAUAAGAUAUGAAACAUGUUAGACCUACUCAGCCGCAUUUAUGUGAACCAUUCUCAUCUUAGAAUAGUCAUGAAUUGUUACUUCCAGACAUCCAUUCAAUGGUAAAAAAAAAUAAUGAAAUGAAUUGUAUUCAAAAUAAAACUAAUACUUGGAAGGUAUGGCCACACAUGCUAGAGUAAUUAAAAUCAAUAACUUUAAUAAAUUAACAAAAGAGUGCCUAAAGUAUGGCAACAUACAAAAGUAAACAAGAUCCAAGAAGAAUAACAUUUUGCACUCUUCUACAAGAAUCAGACUUUGUACCGUGAAAAGUGUCUAAAGUGAGAUACUAAAUUUUAAAAUUUGAGAAGCAACACGACAUGACCAAUUCUGGGAUCUAUGUCAUUUCUUUUCAAUUAUUUAUUCCUCCUUUGAACAUAUAUCUCAAAAUUUUGCAAUACACAUACCCUUACUUCAACAAAACCGUGAAGUUCAAUUGAUAUUAGCAGUUAAGCUCAUGUGUAUUUCACAUCUCACAGAAAACGUGUAUUAGUACUUAGAUGGAAGCCAAGCUCAUUCACUCAUUUACAAAUCACGAAUCAACAUAUAGUUAUAAGGGCUACAUCAUUCAACAAUCAUCUGUACCCAAUUUCUUUAGAAAACAACCGUAUUUUCAAUAGAACACCAGGUAAGAUGUAAAUGAUGACAAUAAAUUUCAGAGUUACAUUUCAGAUACAACAACUUCAAAGUAUGGUCACCCAAGGACAUGAUGUGUCCAUGAAUUUUAAAUAGUUGGCUAAAAGAAUUAUGGUGCAACAAAGAAGCAAAAAUUAAUUUGCGUACAUAAAAGAAUUUGGCUAAAUAAGGUAGCAAAAUAUGGUAGGUUAGCUUUAGCACAACAUGGUUCAAGAAAAUAUCAUACACCGAAAAUAAUCUUGUUAUAGCAGUCUGAGAUGUUCAUUCAUUUAUUCACAAACACAGAUCAAUAAUAUGUAUAUGGGACUACAACUUUCAACAAACAUUACAAGGUAUUUAUUAUCUACACAGAGAUUAACUCCCCUAUCUCGAAUCAACCAAGAAACCUUGACUUCAAAGGUUUAUCUCCAACUCCCAUCUAAGGUAGUUCCUACUUCUCCAGAUCUCACAGAAUUUCUUCAAUCCUCUCUACCCUUCAAGCUCUCUUAAUCCCCUCUUAGAUCCCUUUUCCCCUUCACUAUAAAACAUAAGCACUAAACAGGAUUCAACACCGCAACCUAAUAACAAAACAAAUCCUAAAUUCCCAAUAAAGUAUUUAACAAAAAAUUCAAACUUUCCACCAAUAAAGCACAUGCACGACGAAAUGUUCAACAAAAACUUCAAAAAUCAUUCAACUUUACCAAGACAAAACCUAAAUGCCAAAAAAAAUUUUAAAAAAUUAAACUCAUCGAACAAAGGCUAACCAAUAGCGAAAUAAACGGGAAAAAGCUUCGAAAACCGACCUCCAACGAUGUUUUCUAGCUUGCGGUGACGGUGAACGGCAUGCCUCCGACGAACUCCGAACUCCUUCAACGACGACAACGGUGGCUGGUGGGUGAUUAUGACGGAGGAGGAAGAGGAAGAUACUUCUAGACGAGAGAGAAAAUGCUUCACGGCGAGAGCAAAACUGACUCUUUUUUUUAAACCAUCAAAUGAGACCCGCGAGAAACGAAAAUGAAAACCAUCCACUGCC